rnacentral:lncRNA from 1 species
UCUCCCCAGCCAUCAACCUUCAGUAGCGUCAGCCAGACUUCAACAAUGCCAACCGGACUUUCACAGGAUCCUCCAAACUCCUCCAGCGGACGAACCUCCACAAUGCCAUCCGAAGUCCACUACCGGUCGACCCUCUAUCGGAUUCUUCAUAAAAUUGGACUUCCCCAAUAGAAAGUCUCCGACCGAGCUUCCACAGCAGAUGACUCCCGCCU